UUUAAUUAUAUUGUCUUCAUUCAACAAUCAUAAGUCAUACUAUUCUGUAAAUUAUUUGUUUUUGUAUAGUAUUGUUUGAUACAUCUCUAUAGUCUAUAUUCCUGAGAUUGAUAUACAUGUUUGUGGUGUAGGGAUAUAGAGAAGAUGCAGGUUUAAACUUGGAGAGUGAUGCUGAUGAAUAACUCCGAAUCUAUAUUCCUUUUAACCAAUCUCUUAGUGGUGACUUGAGCUGUGAGAUUUUAAAUUUUUGUGAUCAGAAAAGACUCUGACCUUGGUAGAUUGUAUGUAGAGAUGAAGAGGCUUAAUAGAUGGAAUAUGUUUUUCUUGGUAGAUAGCUUGCUUAGAGGUGUCCUACUUGUGCUUAGUUGCUUAGAUUGAAUCUAGGGUUAGAUUUUUCUUUAAGUUCCAGUUAGCUACAAAGGAAUCAAAUAUUAUUAGCUGCUAUAAGAUCUUCUGCUGUCUUUAGUAACAGGACAAUGUUGUGGAACCGUUGCUUGUUGGCAAUACCGGUAGGACUUAAGCAAAAGGACAAUGUUGACGCUCUUGUACAGAAGUUUCUUCCGGAGAAUUUCACAGAGGUGAGUUGAGGAAGACAAGAACUGGGUCGACCGAUCCUGACAAGGAACCGUAUCAGCAAUAAUCGAAGGUUUAAGCGGAGUUGUGUGAUAUCAAGUUCAUUGCAGAGGCAAGCUGAACAUAUUACGAAAUAAACACAUACAGUUUUGUAAUCAAAUCAGAUUAAAUGUAGAAAAAGAUUUAAAUAUAUGUUAACAUUUAAUUAUACACUCGAUUUUUAUUAGUGUAGUUUUCAUUAUCUUCUUUAGAUGUGACACAUUCUCCUUUCAUCUUUGAUUAAUUCCCAUUAUUUAAGCA